GCCGGGCAUGGUGGCGCAUGCCUGUAGUCCCAGCUACUCGGGAGGCUGAGAUGGGAGAAUAGCUUGAACCUGGGAGGCAGAAGUUGCAGUGAGCUGAGAUCAUGCCACUGCACUGCAGCCUGGGUGACAGAACAAGACUCCAUCUCAA
rnacentral:sRNA from 1 species